rnacentral:lncRNA from 1 species
CUUCCCCGUCCCGGGGCGCGGCGGGUCUCCCACUCAGCGCUGGACUCGGGGCUCUUCUCCUGCUGGGACCCCGCUAGCUGCUCGUCAGUCCCAGGGGAGCUGGGGUUCAGGGAUAUUUUUAAUAUCAGAAACUUGGAGUAGCAUUACAAAUCUGGAUUCCAUGUCUUUUCUUCGGUGGGUGUCCGAAAAGUUCAUUGUAGAGGGCUUGAGGGAGUUGGAGCUGUUUGGAGACCAAUGAUGCGAGCUCCGAGUCGAUAGCAU